UGUGUGUGUGUGUGUGUGUGUGUGUGUGUGUUCUCAGUGGGUCUCAUCUGAUCUGCGCUCUGGCUGGGCGGUUUCCUCACUGGAGGAUCAUCAACGUUGAUAAUCUUCAGUAUUGCUCCAACCUGAAGAACCUGCGUUCAGUCCAGGCCAGCAGCUCUUACAGCUUCAUCCCGGGUGAUGUGUGUGAUCCUCUGUUCAUCAAGCAUCUGUUUUCCACUGAACACAUCGAUGUGGUCUUCCACUGCGCUGCUGAAACUCAUGUAGGUGAGGAAAACCUGCCGGA